UGAUGGUUAACAUUUUAGUCAUUUUAACUGAAAUACUCCUAAUUCUUUUUCUCACAGAUCUACUAACAUGGUGUCAAGUUGCAGAGAUUUUACCAAAUCAGAUAACAGAUUUGGGUCAAAGUGUGACCAUAAACUGUGGACUUGACUUAAAGGAGGUGACAUGGUUUGUACUAAAUUUACCAGAUCCUCCGGUUCUGAUAUUACGCUCCUUUUCAAACCCACCAGCAACAUUUUACUUCAAUAAUAGAUUCAGACAGAAAUAUUCAGUGCAGCCUAAACAUAAUCUGUUCUUAAAUAAUGUCAGUAUUGAUGAGUUAGGAGUUUAUUACUGUACAAACAUAGACAGAACUGCACAAUUCAGCAACGGCAUCAGACUUGAUCGGACCACACGGAUCCUUGUCCCAACUCAACCUUCAGAGUGUCAGAAUCACACUGUAGUGGUGCAGCCUACACAGCCGACAUUGUGGCAGACUGUUACUGUCAUAUUUGGUCUGAUCAGUGUUGUUCUGCUAUUUGGGUUCAAAGCAUUCUUAGGCCUAUGUAAGCUUUUUGCUGGUCGCAGUAACAAACACCCACAACAACGAAGAAACUGACCUUCUGCAGCUUCAACUGAUAGAUCCUGAAUACGUUGACCUGAUGUCUCUUUUUCACAAGGUGUGUCCCAGUGUCCAGACAACUGGCAAAAAAUGAUAUUAUGACCCAGUUUCAUCUAUAAGGGUCACUGAGCUUAAUUUACAUAGAACAGAAGCCCAACAUAAAUUUUAGAAUAUAGCCAUUAUUUCAUGUUGUUUAAUAGCAUACUUUGUAAAAGAUUGUAUAAACGUGUUUGUAAUGCAUUUUCAACCAGACAUGUUCAUUGUUAUGUUAUCGCAGCAAAAAUAAAUUCAGAUAUGCUUUUACAGGAAAUUACUUUGUAAUCUGGUCACCAAGACAGCUUUGUGUGUGUGA